UAAAUAAGAAGCAAAAAUUUGCAAUCAAUUUCGACCUGAUCCUUGAUAAUUAUAUUAUCCUUAUUUAU
rnacentral:tRNA from 1 species